GGGGAGAAACCAAAAGAAGAAUAAAAGAACAGGGAAGAGAUACAAAACCAACUGUAAAACAAGUAACAAAAUGCCAGUCAUUAAAAUCAAUGGUCCGGCUCGAGUCUCUCUGCCUGGAUGAAGUGGAGAGACCAGGCCCUGGUGGUCUCAUCUCCAAGCUUUCAGAGCCUUGGAUGCUCCCUGUUCUCCUCUCCUGCUGCCUUGACCGACCAACCACCUAUGGAUCUCAGAGUUACCUCCUCAGGGUUACAACUCAUAAAAGCACAGCCCCAAAUUAGGAUGUCAUAUGGAAAAUACUAUGACAGAGGUCCACAAAUUUUGAAAUGUGGUUCCUGGCAAGCUGAGUAGAUUUGGAUUUAAACUGUUGAGCCCUCAAGCUCAAAUAUUUGACAGAUGCUCUAAGGCUUUACAAAGCACAAAAUAAAUGGUGUUUUUUG
ensembl:lncRNA